rnacentral:tRNA from 1 species
CGGGGCAUGGCGCAGCUUGGCUAGCGCGCGCCGUUCGGGUCGGCGAGGUCGUGGGUUCGAAUCCCGCUGCCCCGA